CAGCCGCCGCGGUAAUACAGAGGGUGCGAGCGUUAAUCGGAUUUACUGGGCGUAAAGCGUGCGUAGGCGGCUUUUUAAGUCGGAUGUGAAAUCCCUGAGCUUAACUUAGGAAUUGCAUUCGAUACUGGGAAGCUAGAGUAUGGGAGAGGAUGGUAGAAUUCCAGGUGUAGCGGUGAAAUGCGUAGAGAUCUGGAGGAAUACCGAUGGCGAAGGCAGCCAUCUGGCCUAAUACUGACGCUGAGGUACGAAAGCAUGGGGAGCAAACAGGAUUAGAUACCCCUGUAGUCCCUGUCUCUUAUCA
rnacentral:rRNA from 1 species